GGUGUCAAAGGAGCACUUCCAGGCUCAGUUCUCUCAUGGGCACAAAGAGUUAAAAUUGCUGUUGGGCAGCAAGAGGACUUGAAUAAUUAGUUAAUUACACGAGAACGCACAACCUCAUAUCAUCCAUCGUGAUAUCAAGUCCAGCAAUAUACUGCUUUUUGAUGAUGAUGUCUCAAAGAUUGCUGAUUUUGAUUUAUCAAAUGAAGCCCCUGAUAAUGCGCCUUCAUUCCACUCGUGUACUUGGCACCUUUGGUUAUCAUGCUCCAGACUAAGAUUUUCCUGGGUCUUUCAGAUAGGUGCUUCUCAUCUUUUUGUGUUUGAUUACAACGGAAAACAUAUAAAAUCUCAAUCUUCAUCUUAUUGAACAAGAAGAAAUAAUGUGUUAAUUUAUUACAAUGAAAGUACUGGAAAGAGGAAAAAGAAAAUGCUGGUCAGGUCAAGAAUCGAUAUGCAAUGACUGGGCAGCUGAGUUCAAGGAGUGAUGUUUACAGUUUUGGUGUUGUCCUGCUGGAACUCUUGACUGGUCGUAAACCUGUUGAUGAUACACUGCGACGUGGACAGCAGUGCCUUGUGACAUGGGUUAUUGGGGAAAAAGAAGAAUGAGAAG